CCUACGGGUGGCAGCAGUCGAGAAUCAUUCACAAUGGGGGAAACCCUGAUGGUGCGACGCCGCGUGGGGGAAUGAAGGUCUUCGGAUUGUAAACCCCUGUCAUGUGGGAGCAAAUUAAAAAGAUAGUACCACAAGAGGAAGAGACGGCUAACUCUGUGCCAGCAGCCGCGGUAAUACAGAGGUCUCAAGCGUUGUUCGGAAUCACUGGGCGUAAAGCGUGUGUAGGCUGUUACGUAAGUCGGGUGGGAAAGGGGCGGGCUCAACCCGCGGACGGCACAUGAUACUGCGAGACUAGAGUGAUGGAGAGGGAAGCGGAAUUCGCGGUGUAGCAGUGAAAUGCGUAGAUAUCGAGAGGAACACUCGUGGCGAAGGCGGGUUCCUGGACAUUAACUGACGCUGAGGCACGAAGGCCAGGGGAGCGAAAGGGAUUAGAUACCCGGGUAGUC
rnacentral:rRNA from 1 species